UGAAACACUGGGGGAGGAUUCACAGGAGCAUUAUGGGUAGUGGGGAUCUGUAAGUUUAACCAGGUGUCAGGCUCCAACAGAAGUUGUGUACAGAUUGCAGUCAGAGCUGUUUGCUGUUUCAGCCAGGUGUUUGUGUCCAGAUUCCUUCAGGUGAAUUUCCUGCAGAUUCCUCCUUCAGUCUGACCUUCUUGGAUGAUGAUGACUGCAGCAUCACUGUCAUUUCUAAAGCUUCCAUCAGCCUGAAUGGAAACAGAGCACAGCAAGAGGAGGAGCUCCACAACUGAAUAUGAAAGGCUUCAUGUUGGAAGUGAAGAGCUGCUGUGUUCUCUCUAUUGUUCAUUCAGUACAAGUGGAAAUGAUGCAGCUCUGCUUAGUUUGGAUGAUCAUCUUCAUGUUUCACACUGGAUCCUCUGAGGAUUUAGUGAAACCAUUUAAAGAUGUAAUGCUGGCUUUGGAAGGAGACUCUGUGACUGUCUCCUGCAACUAUUCAGGAUCUUUCGACUACUUCUUCUGGUAUCAACAGAAGUCCAGUUCAUCUCCACAGUUUUUCCUUGCAGAAUAUUCAAAGAAAGCAGGGUUUUCUUAUAAACAUGACAAAACAGCAAAGGAGUUUCAUCUGCAGAUCUCCUCUGCUGCAGUGACAGACUCUGCUGUGUACUACUGUGCUGUGAAGCCCACAGUGACAGGAAACACCAAAACUCUGUACAAAAACCUUUGGAGCAAAGACAACAGAAUACUCCACAACGUCCACUAGAGGGAGUCACACACUGUUAAACUUCAGUGGUUUAUGAUCUGAAUUUGUGGUGCUGGUGAUUAAACAAAACAAUGCAGCAGCAGCAUGUGGAAGAUACUACAAGUUCUGAAAUGUUAUUUUAAAUCAAUUCCGACAAAGGAUGAUAAUGAUGUUGGAUUGUGUUUAUAUAAAGAGAGACUAUCAGCAGCCUAAUAGCUGAGAGUUCUCAACCAAGGAAGUCCUUUCUCUCCACUGCUGUUUGAUCUUUAAGGAGUAAAUAAUUAAAAUGUCCAUUCUGUAAAAACACAUGAUGUCAAGGCUCUGACUCAGCAUCUGUCAGAUAUACCGGGUCGUUGCACAAAUUCUGUAAGCAGUCCCUGUGCCCCACCCCCAUUACCCACUGCCCCCACCCCCCAAAACCCCCCUCCAACACACAUGUCAUCCGAAAUGUCAACACAUUUCAACCUUUUUUCAACAUUUACUUCUAUGCAAUGACUAUAAUUGCUAAAUGCUUUCACCCCCCACUACGAUGCCCUUGGUCAAAUAUACAGGAUCCAAUCUGGAGAUUAAAACAUUUGUAAACCAAUGAUGGUCCAUUAAAUUGUUUACAGAACAGAACAGAAUUCAUGGAUGACCAAGUAAUGAUCAAGCAUGAAACGAUAGAAGGAAAAUUUGACAUAUGCAAACAAUCUUCCUGUCUGGAGCUUAACAUCUACUUUACUCAAUUUAUUUUUGUAAAGACCUCUCAUGAUAUGAUUUGUCCUAAAAUGUGACACAAAUGUAAUAAUGUGAAUAGUACUGUUUGAGUAAUGUAUUGAAUAAGUAAUUAAUGUGGCUGUCAUGUGUAAUUGAAUAGUUGUAUAUCGUCUGUCUAAAGAUUGACCUCAGUCAGGACCUUCACAUGUUCUGUCAAAGUCAACCAGUUUUACCUUAUCAGCUUCUUGUUAACUGAUGGAAAUGAUGUCAUGUAGUGAAUUACAGCACCACAGCAGAGACAAACUCACUAUUUGUCAGAGUUGUGAGAGGAAGGAGGGAGGGAUUAAGGGAGGAGCAAAACUGGGACUCAAGGACAGAAAAGACAACAGGACCCUUCUAUUAAGAAUUCUCCUAAUAUUAAUUACAUGAUUGCUGAUUAUGGCUUGGGCGUGCAUGGCUGCUUCUG